GCCCAUGUAGCUCAGCUGGUAGAGCAAUCCCCUCGUAAGGGAUAGGCCGUUGGUUCGAAUCCGACCAUGGGCU
rnacentral:tRNA from 1 species